rnacentral:rRNA from 1 species
UGUUUGGGAAUGCAGCUCAAAUGGGUGGUAAAUUCCAUCUAAAGCUAAAUAUUGGCGAGAGACCGAUAGCGAACAAGUACCGUGAGGGAAAGAUGAAAAGCACUUUGGAAAGAGAGUUAAACAGUACGUGAAAUUGUUGAAAGGGAAACGAUUGAAGUCAGUCGUGUUCAUUGGAUUCAGCUAGUUCUUCUAGUCUACUUCCUUUGAACGGGUCAACAUCAGUUUUGUCCGGUGGAUAAAGGAUUUAGGAAUGUAACUCCCUCGGGAGUGUUAUAGCCUAGGUUCACAUACACUGGGUGAGACUGAGGACUGCAGCUCGCCUUUUGGCCGGGGUUCGCCCACGUUCGAGCUUAGGAUGUUGACAUAAUGGCUUUAAACGACCCGUCUUGAAACACGGACC